AUACUUACCUGGCUGGGGAGAUACCGUGGUCACGAAGGUGGUUUUCCCAGGCGAGGCUCACCCAGUGCACUCCGGAUGUGCUGACCCCUGCGAUUUCCCCAAAUGUGGGAAACUCGACUGCAUAAUUUGUGGUAGUGGGGGACUGCGUUGGUGCUAUCCUCUG
rnacentral:snRNA from 1 species